GCCUCUGUAGCUCAACUGGAUAGAGCAGAUGGUUUCUACCCAUCAGGUUGCGGGUUCGACUCCUGCCGGGGGCGCCA
rnacentral:tRNA from 2 species